rnacentral:rRNA from 1 species
UGUCUGGUGGGUAGUUUGACUGGGGCGGUCUCCUCCUAAAGAGUAACGGAGGAGCACGAAGGUUGGCUAAGCAUGGUCGGACAUCAUGCGGUUAGUGCAAAGGCAUAAGCCAGCUUGACUGCGAGAGUGACGGCUCGAGCAGGUACGAAAGUAGGUCUUAGUGAUCCGGUGGUUCUGAAUGGAAGGGCCAUCGCUCAACGGAUAAAAGGUACUCCGGGGAUAACAGGCUGAUACCGCCCAAGAGUUCAUAUCGACGGCGGUGUUUGGCACCUCGAUGUCGGCUCAUCACAUCCUGGGGCUGAAGUAGGUCCCAAGGGUAUGGCUGUUCGCCAUUUAAAGUGGUACGCGAGCUGGGUUUAGAACGUCGUGAGACAGUUCGGUCCCUAUCUGCCGUGGGCGUUGGAAGAUUGAGAGGGGUUGCUCCUAGUACGAGAGGACCGGAGUGAACGCACCACUGGUGUUCGGGUUGUCAUGCCAAUGGCAUUGCCCGGUAGCUAAGUGCGGAAGAGAUAACCGCUGAAAGCAUCUAAGCGGGAAACUUGCC